rnacentral:rRNA from 1 species
GACGAACGCUGGCGGCGUGCUUAACACAUGCAAGUCGAACGGAAAGGCCCUGCUUUUGUGGGGUGCUCGAGUGGCGAACGGGUGAAUAACACGUGAGUAACCUGCCCUUGACUUUGGGAUAACUUCAGGAAACUGGGGCUAAUACCGGAUAGGAGCUCCUGCUGCAUGGUGGGGGUUGGAACGUUUCGGCGGUUGGGGAUGGACUCGCGGCUUAUCAGCUUGUUGGUGGGGUAGUGGCUUACCAAGGCUUUGACGGGUAGCCGGCCUGAGAGGGUGACCGGCCACAUUGGGACUGAGAUACGGCCCAGACUCCUACGGGAGGCAGCAGUGGGGAAUAUUGCACAAUGGGCGGAAGCCUGAUGCAGCAACGCCGCGUGCGGGAUGACGGCCUUCGGGUUGUAAACCGCUUUCGCCUGUGACGAAGCGUGAGUGACGGUAAUGGGUAAAGAAGCACCGGCUAACUACGUG